AAUAGUAAGUGAACCCUUUUAAACACCAUAGUCUCCUCUUACAUCAAAUUAGAAGACAUUUUCUUCUCCCAGCUUUCUUUUCAUUAUGAAGAGAUGGCAAUUAGUAAUUAAAGGCAUAAUGGUCCUAUAGGAAAUUGACUGAUGGACAUUAUUUCAUUCAUCUGCAUCCCUAAAGCACACUUCGUUGAAAAUAUUAGCCAGGGUACAUGCAGUAAAUUCAUAACAGAUGUAUAGCUCCCUGUAAGUUGCAUUCUGACCUUGUCACAUAUGUGUCAUUAAAGAUAUUAUUAGUGACUUUUAAGAUAAGCUGUCAACAUCAAGAUGGUGAUGUUAGAGAAUCUGGUAUAAAUGGAAUUUCACAUAUUCUAAAUUAGGAAUGAUUUAAAAAAAUUUUUUAAUAUUAUUUAAGAGAGAGACAUCUUUUUAAAAAAAAAUUUUUUUUUACAUUUAUUUAUUUUUGAGAGACAGAGAGAUAGAACACAAGUGGGGGAGGGUACAGAGAGAGAAGGAGACACAGAAUCCGAAGCAUGCUCCAGGCUCUGAGCUGUCAGCACAGACCCCGAUGCAGGGUUCAAACCCACAAACCUUGAGAUCAUGACCUGAGCUGAAGUCGGGCACUCAACUGACUGAGCCACCCAGGCGCCCUGAGAGAGACAAAGCUUUUUUUUUUUUCAAUAUAUGAAAUUUAUUGUCAAAUUGGUUUCCAUACAACACCCAGUGCUCAUCCCAAAAGGUGCCCUCCUCAAUACCCAUCACCCAACCCCCCUCCCUCCCACCCCCCAUCAACCCUCAGUUUGUUCUCAGUUUUUAAGAGUCUCUUAUGCUUUGGCUAAGAGAGACAAAUCUGAAGCAGUGGAGGGUGGAGAGAGAGGGAGACACAGAAUCUGAGGCAGGCUCCAGACUCUGAGCUGUCAGCACAGAGCCUGAUGUGGGGCUCGAACUCAUGGACUGCAAGAUCAUGACCCGAACUGAAGUCACAUGCUUAACUGUCUAAGCCAUGCAGGCACCCCAGGAAUGACUUUUUAAUGGCAAAGAAGGAGAAAUUAAAAACAGUAUAAAGGAUAUCAAUUUUUAAUUAAAAUAUUACAAUUUCACAUUUGAAUAUUUCACAUUGAAAUAUUACAAUAUUACACAUUUGUUGUAUUAGUUUUAGGCAUACAUCCUAGUGAUUCCAUAUGUCUAUAAAUUAUGUUGUACUUAACCACAAGUGUAGCUAUCAUGUGAAAGCAUGUAACACUAUUAUUACAGGAUUGACUAUGUUCGAUAGUCUGUCCCUUGUAUCUGUAUGACUUGUUCAUUCCAUAGCGGGAAGCCAGUAUCUCUCUCUCAAAGGUAUAAAUUUUUUAUCUAACCUAAGUAUUUUGGUGGUAAACACAAUUAAUUACCUGUUGUUCAGCAUAUGUAAAUUGGUAGUCUAUUUUUCUGUGAUCAUUGCUUAAAGCAUUACAAAUGAUGUCAUUAAAUUAAUAAAUUCAGUUUCAUUCUUCACUCACAAUAAAGGAGAAGGAAAAGAUUUCUUUGUGUCCGAGGCCCUGUCACUAAGACCCUUCCCAAUCUGAACAGGCUCAGCUGCCCAGAGCACCUUCAGUGCCUCCAGCUGAGUGGCCAUGGCCUUGAGAAUUGCAGGAAUCCCUAGGAUGACCAGCAGAGGGCGCUCGAGCACCACAAAUCCGGAGGGGCGCUAGGGGCUUUUCUGAUCCAGGGUCCCCUUACAGAAGGAAAGGCUUCGGUUGCCUCCAGAGGACUUCAGGGCCUCUGCCUCUGCCGCUGCCUCAGGACAGAGAGUCAGAGCUGAGUUUCCAGCAGGUUCCACCGCCCGCCCCAGGGGAGACCUUGGGAGCUAUGCAGCAACUUGGCGUCUCCUGAGUCGCCAGAGAGAAGCUGCCUUGUUGCGCUGAGUGCUGAGGAGGGAGCGCUGGGUGGCUUCCCUGAGCGCACUGGUUGGUGAGCAGCACAGUCUCUUGCAUUUUCUGGGCUGUUCCCAUGUUUCCUUCCUCACUUUCCCUGACGGUAUUUGAACAAGACGCAUUUUACUAAAGGAUCCGCGGAUUGAGGGGCCCCACAACAUCAUAGAUGCAGUGGAUGGUUUGUUCCAGAUUCAGGCUUGCUUCCGGGGAGAAAUCCUGACAAACUCAGAAGAACGGGAAGCUGCAUUCAGUUGGGAUGUGAAUACGUGAAAUGCUCAGUCUCAGGACCUUCUAGAAGAAUGAGCUGGGACCCACUUUCCACGUCCUACUGGAACCAGAGACGGAGGUAUUGCCCAGGUGUCUGAAUGCCUGCUUUGGGAUACCUCCUUUUCUGAUAGUCUAUAUUCCUGUCCUGGAUUUUAAUAGAAGUCCCUGGGCUGAGGUGUUAACAGUCUUCAUUUAAUGAAUUUCCAUGAACAUCUUUUUUUUGAUGAUCGUUGUGUGGAGAUAUCAUCUUAAUUGAAACUGUGAGAAGGCUGUACCUGUGACAAAGGACACAAAAGAACCUGCUUAUGUGAACACAAAUGAAGGACACAGUGGGGACUUGCCAUAUAGGCCACAUGAUGAUCACCUACAGGAACAGGCUGCACAGCAGUCUUCCAGGCAUUGGUUUCUGCCUUGGGCAUCCCACAGGCAGCCUCUUUCCUUCCAUCACAUCCAGUCUUGGAUAAAGAAAAAGAAUGGACUUCUAUAAGAGUUGCAACACCACGUACUCUACUAGAUAACAGCACAGGCAUCAUCCCUGGAAACAUCCAUAAAAACACAAGUCAAACUACCUUACCUGUAUUUCAAGUAUGUGACCUCCCUGCUCUGCUCUGUCAUCUCCCUCUCCCAGACUUGAAUCUUGAUAUGGGGGAGAAAAACAUACCCACCUUCAGUUGUGCCAGACUGUGCACCAAAGAGAGAGAGGAGGAAAAAAGGAAACACCCAGCUGUCCUGAGCAUUCUUCUCAUAAACUGCGAUCUGAAAAAGCCAACAAUGAAAAGCCCAUGUUUAGGGAUUCCAAGGGCCACUACACUCACCCGCAUGAGGUGCUAAGGGUUCAAUACGUCAGGCAGAACUCAGGUUACCUGAUGUCUGAAGGUGAGCUCUGCCUGUUGCAGCUGUUCUCUUGUUUGUUCAAUUUGUUGCCUGUGAGUUACAAUUGCUUUCAUCAAAUAAGGCCCAAUAUUGGUUAGGAUUAUACAUAUCUGCCCAUGUUUCCAUCAGCCUCAUAUCUGUCCCCUGAUAUAAUUUAUUCUUACACAUGAAACACUCUACAUGGUUAUAAAUGUACAGUAGGAUCAAAGCUAUUGCUCCAUCCUUUCCUUAUUAUUCCAUGCCCAUAGGGUUCAGAGUUCAUAGAAUUCCUUCCCAUUUUCAAUCUUUUCCUAAUUCAUCACAUGACAAGUGUCUUUCAUCAUAAAGCUCUAUUCUUUAACUUAUAUCGUCACCAUGUUUCCUAGGGUUGCAAAGACCAGGGCCAUUAAACGUCACCACCAUGUUGAUGGGUAUGAUACAUCCUACGGCACACUGCUUUCCUAUAGAUUAUGACACUUGACACCAACCCCCCAGGAACGUUAGCAUUGAUGAAAUUUCUAUACAGUCUGGCCAUUGCUUGAGAUCCACAAAUGUUUAGAAACGUAAUUGUUUUGUUCUUUCUAAAACUUACCUUUUUUUAGUCUGCUAAUACUCUAUGCCUAUGUCCUCUGAAUUUGUGUUUAUAUUACUAUGUUGGGUCUAAACAUUGUAAAAAGGUUAAAAACAAAAAAUGAGCCGAGUUUUCAUGAGCUGCUAGUAAUUAGUAGCUGAACUCACUUGUACUUGUUUUCUUCUGUAGCUUUGUUCAAAUUUUCCCUGCAGCUGCCAGCUGAUUCUUCUUUGCUGCCAGUUCACACUGUGUCAUUUUAAGCUUCCUAAGAUAGGAAAAAUAUAUACAUAGUCCAGGAGCCAAGGUCCAGAAAUUCUGCCUUUUUACCUCCCAGCACUCUUGAAGGCAAAUAUCCCUUUCCCCAUCUCUCCCGUAAAUGCACAGACUGACAACACAAUCGGAGAAAUGAAGUGAACACCCCAUUUAAGUUAAAGAAAAUUCAACGUCUGUCUGCUGCCAUGUCUUUGCUAUCAGAACUGUCUUUCUAGUUCUCUGCUUCUACCUCCUUCAUCAUAAAGUCAUCAAAUAACGUUGCACUCUGUGCCUUCCAAGAGUUGGUCUUUUGUUUGAGAUGGUGAAGGCUCAUUUCAGCAAUGUCACAAACUAUGACCAACUGUACCCAUUAGGAUGAAGCAAGAGAUCAUCACUAGUCUUACACCUCCAUGUGGAGCCCUGAUUCUCAGUCCAAAAGUUGUACCCUGACACAAUCACUCUGAAAGAGACCUUCUAGGAUAUGGCUUCACCAGCAUUGCAGCUCACUCCCUGACAUUGCUAGGGGUUAGGAGUACAACCCCUGCCUCCACCUUCAUAUAUCUUGGUGGAGGAAAAGGCCAAUCUUAGAGCAGCAACAUCUCCUGAAGUAUAACCUGAUAUGAACUGUCAUAUAGUCUGGGUUUAUAUAUAGUCUGUUUCCUGGAGAGGAAACAGAUUUCAGAUGGAAAACUAUCAGCUUCAUACAGUCAAUCUACUUUAACAAGACUGAUUCCAUUGAUAGUGAAGACAGCAAAGGGAAAUGCCUAAAAAGGCUGGUUUGCCAUGUUACCAUCAGACUAUUUUGUGUAGUUGAUUUAAAGGGUUUCUACUUGGCACUUGAUGUACUCAAGAAUCACAUACAAAACUGAAAGUCUCUUAGAAACUGACACAAAAGCCCUAGACAGAGAAAGGCACAUGCAUUUCCUUCUGGCCUCUGAGGCAGUCCUUCAGCAAAUGCUUUCUGGAGUGGUUGUAAUAUAGUGGCUCUGUUGUAAGGGAGUGAAGGAAGAAAGGUGGUCAGGGCUCUGUACCCACUCCCCAAAAGAGCUUACAAAUUAAUAAAGACAAGAUGCCAAUGAGACAGAGCAGCCCUCACCCCAGGUGUGGGAAGGAAUAACACACAGCCGAGUCUCCAGGGAAGAGAACGAAGAGCUCAUUUCCCAUCAUGAAUGAGGGACUCUAAAGGCCCCGAUCUCUGCCUGAGAAUGAAUGGAAAUUCUGUACAAAGGAGGAAAUAUGUGAAUGAAUGCACCAAAUUUCUAUCAACCUUAUGAAGACACACAAGACCAAGAUAGAGAAGAAGGAAGCCCAUGACAAAGCCAGCCUGGCAGUUGGAGCCAAUCUCCCUAGGUUUCAUCAAUGAUUUGGGAGGCUUACAAAUGAACUGCAUUGAAGCUGAACAACUUUAGGGGCAUAGACUUAGAAUGAAACACGUGUAGUUCAGGGUCGGCCAGCAAAGAUGAGCCCUAGUGAAGCUGCAGGCUUUGGUCAAGACCCAGAGGAGUUACACUUAAAAAUCAGGGGACAGGAAAUAACUAGGCUUUCUUAGGGAUUGGGCCUGCAGUGAACAAUCUCACUGGCAGAAUGGAUGCAGGGAUCCAGUACUGCUGGCGCCCCUACCCACUUUCCAGGAAGAAAUUACUGUUGUUUCUGCAGCAAGAUAAUUCCAUUUUUUCCCUCCACACUUUUGACCCAUGUCUGGUCCUGAACAAAAAUGACCUAAUUGAUGACAAAACAAUGUGAUGGGAUUGAAACCUAUAGGACAAUGUAGAUGGAUCCAGAGCAGAUCCAGGUAUCAAUGUUAUUAAUGCUGGUACCUUCCCUCUUCUGCCCUAAAUACAUGACACAAUGUGUGACAAACACUCAGGACAGAAAGGAAAAUGCAGGUUACAGAAAGCAAGGUAGGAAGGGAAGGCACAAUUCUACUGAAUGCAUUUGGCAAAAAGACUCUGGACCCAGUUCCAAAACAAGUAUCUCUACUGGCUGCCACAUUCAUUCAUACAACGGUACUUAUGACAGUUAUCACAUGAUCAUCUUACUCUUCUGUAGCCACUUUUGUUCAUAGAAUUCUUCAAGGAUGCCUGCUUUCUCCUUCAGCUGUUUGACUUUUGCUUCCUUGGUUGCUUUCACAGACCUCAAUACAUUACACUUGUCUUCCAGGGCCUUUUUAUUUUCUGUAAAAAAAAAAAAGGGAGUUUUCUUUGUAAGUGUGUACAUGACCUGAGUCUUGAUUUUGGUGUGACAAAAAAAGGGCAAGAACCAUGACAGCAGGAAGCUAUUCUUUCCCUUCCCAAUGCAAAGUCAUUGUCAUCAUAUGGGGAUUUCUCCCCAACAGACAAUAUACCUUCCAGUUGACAGUUACUGGACCUAAAGGCUCUUAGCUCUACAUCAUCAAAUUCACCAUUUGCAUCUUGUGGUUAAGACAUAUAUGAGAAAAGACUUUCAAGAAACAAUGAUUCCACAACAAUUUGAGUGUACCUAAAACAAAAGGAUUGUACACUGCAAUAAACAAAGACCUUGAAGCAUAAAUAUAACUAGAAGACAAAAAUGGUGGAAAAUAGUUCAUGUACAACAGCUUAUACAUGGCUCUU